rnacentral:rRNA from 1 species
GAUGAACGCUAGCGACAGGCUUAACACAUGCAAGUCGAGGGGCAGCGGGGGUAGCAAUACCCGCCGGCGACCGGCGCACGGGUGAGUAACGCGUAUGCAACUUACCUAUCAGAGGGGGAUAACCCGGCGAAAGUCGGACUAAUACCGCAUGAAGCAGGGGCCCCGCAUGGGGAUAUUUGCUAAAGAUUCAUCGCUGAUAGAUAGGCAUGCGUUCCAUUAGGCAGUUGGCGGGGUAACGGCCCACCAAACCGACGAUGGAUAGGGGUUCUGAGAGGAAGGUCCCCCACAUUGGUACUGAGACACGGACCAAACUCCUACGGGAGGCAGCAGUGAGGAAUAUUGGUCAAUGGCCGAGAGGCUGAACCAGCCAAGUCGCGUGAGGGAUGAAGGUUCUAUGGAUCGUAAACCUCUUUUAUAAGGGAAUAAAGUGCGGGACGUGUCCCGUUUUGUAUGUACCUUAUGAAUAAGGAUCGGCUAACUCCGUG